rnacentral:rRNA from 1 species
AGGACGAACGCUGGCGGCGUGCUUAACACAUGCAAGUCGAGCGAGGCUCUCCUUCGGGAGAUGUCCGAGCGGCGAACGGGUGAGUAACACGUGGGCAACCUGCCUCUAGCUCUGGGAUAACUCCGGGAAACCGGGGCUAAUACCGGAUACGACCUCGAGCGGCAUCUAUCGAGGUGGAAAGUUUUUCGGCUAGAGAUGGGCCCGCGGCUUAUCAGCUUGUUGGUGAGGUAACGGCCCACAAGGCGACGACGGGUAGCCGGCCUGAGAGGGCGACCGGCCACGACUGGGACUGAGACACGGCCAGACUCCGUACGGGAGGCAGCAGGUGGGGAAUAUUGGGACAAGUGGGACGAAAG